GGCGGGGUGCCUAACCAUGCAAGUCGAGCGAUCUCUUCGGAGUGAGCGGCGGGCGUAGUGGGUAACAGGGUGGAAAACGGACGGGUACACACGGAUAACAUACCGAAAGGUAUACUCAUACGAAAAAAACAUACGAAAGUCGAAUGGAUUUUGUAUCGAAGCUCCGGCGGUACAGGAUGGACCCGCGUCUGAUUAGCCCCUCUGGUAAGGUAAUGGCUUACCAAGGCAACGAUCAGUAGCCGACCUGAGAGGGUGAUCGGCCACACUGGAACUGAGACUCGGUCCAGACUCCUACGGGAGGCAGCAGUGGGGAAUAUUGCACAAUGGGCGAAAGCCUGAUGCAACAACGCCGCGUGAGCGAUGAAGGCCUUCGGGUCGUAAAGCUCUGUCCUCAAGGAAGAUAAUGACGGUACUUGAGGAGGAAGCUCCGGCUAACUACGUG
rnacentral:rRNA from 1 species